GAUGAACGCUAGCUACAGGCUUAACACAUGCAAGUCGAGGGGAAACGACAUCGAAAGCUUGCUUUUGAUGGGCGUCGACCGGCGCACGGGUGAGUAACGCGUAUCCAACCUGCCCACCACUUGGGGAUAACCUUGCGAAAGUAAGACUAAUACCCGAUGAUAUCCCUAGAAGACAUCUGAAAAGGGGAUUAAAGAUUUAUCGGUGAUGGAUGGGGAUGCGUCUGAUUAGCUUGUUGGCGGGGUAACGGCCCACCAAGGCAACGAUCAGUAGGGGUUCUGAGAGGAAGGUCCCCCACAUUGGAACUGAGACACGGUCCAAACUCCUACGGGAGGCAGCAGUGAGGAAUAUUGGUCAAUGGGCGCAAGCCUGAACCAGCCAAGUAGCGUGAGGGAAGACUGCCCUACGGGUUGUAAACCUCUUUUGUUUGGGAAUAAAGUGCGGGACGUGUCCCGCAUUGCAUGUACCAUUUGAAUAAGGACCGGCUAAUUCCGUG
rnacentral:rRNA from 1 species